CCAGCCGCCCCGUCCGGGAGGGAGGUGGGGGGGUCAGCCCCCCGCCCGGCCAGCCGCCCCGUCCGGGAGGGAGGUUGGGGGGUCAGCCCUCCGCCCGGCCAGCCUCCCCGUCUGGGAGGUGAGGGGCGCCUCUGCCCGGCCGCCCCUACUGGGAAGUGAGGAGCCCCUCUGCCCGGCCAGCCGCCCCGUCCGGGAGGGAGGUGGGGAGGUCGGCCCCCCGCCCGGCCAGCCGCCCCGUCCGGGAGGGAGGUGGGGGGGUCGGCCCCCCGCCCGGCCAGCCGCCCCGUCCGGGAGGGAGGUGGGGGGGUCGGCCCCCCGCCCGGCCAGCCGCCCCGUCCGGGAGGGAGGUGGGGGGGGUCAGCCCCCCCGCCCGGCCAGCCUCCCCGUCCGGGAGGUGAGGGGCGCCUCUGCCCGGCCGCCCCUACUGGGAAGUGAGGAGCCCCUCUGCCCGGCCAGCCGCCCCGUCCGGGAGGGAGGUGGGGGGGGUCAGCCCCCCCGCCCGGCCAGCCGCCCCGUCCGGGAGGUGAGGGGCGCCUCUGCCUGGCCGCCCCUACUGGGAAGUGAGGAGCCCCUCUGCCCGGCCACCACCCCGUCUGGGAGGUGUGCCCAACAGCUCAUUGAGAACGGGCCAGGAUGACAAUGGCGGCUUUGUGGAAUAGAAAGGCGGGAAAGGUGGGGAAAAGACUGAGAAAUCGGAUGGUUGCCCUGUCUGUGUAGAAAGAAGUAGACAUGGGAGACUUUUCAUUUUGUUCUGCACUAAGAAAAAUUUCUCUGCCUUGGGAUCCUGUUGAUCUGUGACCUUACCCCCAACCCUGUGCUCUCUGAAACAUGUGCUGUGUCCACUCAGGGUUAAAUGGAUUGAGGGCGGUGCAAGAUGUGCUUUGUUAAACAGAUGCUUGAAGGCAGCAUGCUCGUUAAGAGUCAUCACCAAUCCC
rnacentral:lncRNA from 1 species